UACAGAGGUCUCAAGCGUUGUUCGGAUUCAUUGGGCGUAAAGGGUGCGUAGGCGGCGCGGUAAGUCGGGUGUGAAAUCUUGGAGCUUAACUCCGAAACUGCAUUCGAUACUGCCGUGCUUGAGGACUGGAGAGGAGACUGGAAUUUACGGUGUAGCGGUGAAAUGCGUAGAUAUCGUAAGGAAGACCAGUGGCGAAGGCGGGUCUCUGGACAGUUCCUGACGCUGAGGCACGAAGGUCAGGGGAGCAAAACGGG
rnacentral:rRNA from 1 species